rnacentral:rRNA from 1 species
UAUAACUGGAGAGUUUGAUCCUGGCUCAGAACGAACGCUGGCGGCGUGCUUAACACAUGCAAGU